AGAGUUUGAUCCUGGCUCAGAUUGAACGCUAGCGGUAUGCUUAACACAUGCAAGUCGAACGGCAGCAUCAUAUAGGUUUACCUAUGUGGAUGGCGAGUGGCGGACGGGUGAGUAAUGCGUAGGAAUCUACCUUAGUGAGGGGGAUAACUCCGAGAAAUCGGAGCUAAUUCCACAUAAUGUUGCAAAACCAAAGGCAGGGG
rnacentral:rRNA from 1 species